UACGUAGGGCGCAAGCGUUGUCCGGAAUCAUUGGGCGUAAAGAGCUCGUAGGCGGCCUGUCGCGUCUGCUGUGAAAUCCCGGGGCUCAACCCCGGGCGUGCAGUGGAUACGGGCUGGCUAGAGGCAGGCAGGGGAGAACGGAAUUCCCGGUGUAGCGGUGAAAUGCGCAGAUAUCAGGAGGAACACCGGUGGCGAAGGCGGGUCUCUGGACAGUUCCUGACGCUGAGGCACGAAGGUCAGGGGAGCAAACGGG
rnacentral:rRNA from 1 species